UUUCUGUUCCUGUCUUCAGUUCUAUUAGUUCCAAGUGUUCCCCGUUUAAUUAAUUUUUUUCCAGCUUUAUCCCACCUGUGUCUGUCUUUAAAUUGUUUCCUCUGUUGUUAGUUCAAUGUCCGCUUUCAUAUGUCCCGUAUCUGUUUGUUUCUCCUUGUGAAUUUAACUAAAAUAUUUUACUUCAGUACUCUCCUGGUUCCUUCUCCAAGCGAAGUGACUCAGUAGAGAUUGGAAUAAACUAAAAGCUUUUUCAAUUAAAUAAAGCAGAAAAAUAUUACUGUGUUCACUUCUCAAUAGAUCACCAUAAUGAGUGUCUAUCUGUGUAGUUUUAGACUCAACAUCUGUUAAAGUACUGAUCUCUUCUUCUGCUGCUGCUGGAUCUCUGCUGAUUGUUGCUGCAGUCGUGAUAGUUUGUAUUUGCAGGAAAUGUAGAAAAACAGACAAAGAAGCUGAGACUCAUGAAGACGAGAUCACUUACAUUGAGCCUACAUUCUACAAAAGAGAUGCACAGAAACCGGAUGUUAAAGAGGAUGAUGAUGUGGAAUAUGCACCUAUCGUCAAGAGAAGAUGAUCAGACACGUAUCAGACCCGCUUUGUGACUUUCACAGGAAGCUCCUGUGACUACCUCAGAGUCUGUCGUUUCAUCUCAGCCCUUGAAAACAUGUAGAUUGAGUUUUAGGAUUGUAAGUGUAAAUUCAGGGCUGGAUUAAUGAAAUUCUCUCUUAAAGAAAACAAAAUCAUUUUAAUCUUGUGAAACACAAACAUUUUCUUGUUUGACUCUAUAGCCUCCUAAAGAAUUAUAAUUAUUAUUAUUUUAUUAUUAUUAUUUUUAACAAAUUCCCAAAACGAGAAACAUGUUUGCAUCUGAUUUACAUCUGUGUAGAUUUGCAGGAAACAGUUGUUCUUGAACAUUGCUGAAUGUUUGCGGUUGACUUAAACACAGACACUGCUAAGGCGUCAUUGGCGUGUGGUUAAAUGCCUUUUUCCAUUUCCAUUUCAUAUGAAACGCAGUCUAACUUUAGCAUUAACCAACCACUUUACCAUGAAAUACUGAAAAGAUACACGAUUCUCUCAGAUAAAAUAGUAUGUGU